GACGAACGCUGGCGGCGUGCUUAACACAUGCAAGUCGAACGAGAAAGCCCUUCGGGGUAAGUACAGUGGCGAACGGGUGAGUAACGCGUGGGCAACCUGCCCCGGAGAGCGGGACAACCCGAGGAAACUCGGGCUAAUACCGCAUGAUGCGUCUCCACUUAAGUGGAGCCGCCAAAUGGUAGCUUCGGCCUCCGCUCUGGGAUGGGCCCGCGCCGGAUUAGCUAGUUGGUUGGGGUAAUGGCCCACCAAGGCGACGAUCCGUAGCUGGUCUGAGAGGACGAUCAGCCACACUGGGACUGAGACACGGCCCAGACUCCUACGGGAGGCAGCAGUGGGGAAUCUUGCGCAAUGGGCGAAAGCCUGACGCAGCAACGCCGCGUGAGGGAAGAAGGCCUUCGGGUUGUAAACCUCUUUCAGUAGGGACGAAGCUUCCGGGGUUAAUAGCCCACGGGGUGACGGUACCUACAGAAGAAGCCCCGGCUAACUACGUGCCAGCCGCCGCCGUAA
rnacentral:rRNA from 1 species